GUUUGAAAACAAGUUCAUGAAUUCGCCUGCCGUGUCCACGGAGAUGGGCCGUAGUUCUUGGCCAUAGGGACUGGACUGGAGCUAGUCCAGGAGGACAGUGAAGAUGUCGCCUUCCUUAGUCCCGGCCACUGUCUGGCCUGUGAGCAAGAGGAAGCUGCAGACCACUUGGGCCGCCCUCACCCUGACACCUUCAGCAAGCAUACGAAGACAAAGGAGAUUUUGAUGAAGUUCAAAUUGGAGUCAGAGUGCUCAUCGGAAAGAAAGCGCAGCAAACACGUUUAGGAACAGAAAUGGAUUAUGUUGAAGACAAAUUAUCCAUUGUGUUUGUGUUCAGUAACCCAAGCAUCAAAGGAACUUGUGGCUAGGGAGAAGGCUUGACUAUUUGCAAUCUCAGGAUUCCUCUGGCCGGGGCUCCCGGAUUCCUGUGGAAGCCUGGGGGCUUGCUGAAGAAGUCACGUGACUGGAACCUGCUUAGUGCUCUGCUGUCUGGUAAGGAAAAUAAAGCGGUACAUUUUGAAUAAAAAUAAAAGCUCAUUUUAAA